rnacentral:rRNA from 1 species
UAAGUUUAACGGCCGCGGUAUUUUGACCGUGCAAAGGUAGCGCAAUCACUUGUCUUUUAAAUGAGGACCUGUAUGAAUGGCAUAACGAGGGCUUAACUGUCUCCUUUUUCAAGUCAAUGAAAUUGAUCUUUCCGUGCAGAAGCGGGAAUAAAAACAUAAGACGAGAAGACCCUGUGGAGCUUAAGACACCAAAACAGCCCAUGUAAAACACCCCUGAUUAUAGGAAUAAACUAAAAGAGCCCUGUCCUAUAUGUCUUAGGUUGGGGCGACCGCGGGGAAACAAAAAACCCCCACGUGGAAUGGGAAAUUUCUCUACUCACCUCCUAAAAAUUAGAGCUUCCGCUCUAACAAACAGAAUAUCUGACCAACAAUGAUCCGGCAACGCCGAUCAACGGACCAAGUUACCCCAGGGAUAACAGCGCAAUCCCCUUUUAGAGCCCAUAUCGACAAGGGGGUUUACGACCUCGAUGUUGGAUCAGGACAUCCUAAUGGUGCAGCCGCUAUUAAGGGUUCGUUU